CUCAGACCUGGCAGCCUGAGAGAAGGAAGACCAUAUUUUCUUAUUUGGUUGAAGAGUAUUGGCAUUAAUCUAUGCCAAGAGUAAACAGAGUAUGGUUUGCAGAUGUUUUGAUAUGGCCUGUCUGAUCACUUGUAUAAUCAAGAAAAAAGGACUACCUUCUAUAACAAAAAAUAUUGAAAAAAAUUCCUGGAUGUACAUGACAGAUGAUGCCCUGAUACUGUGUACCAUAUUUCAGCUUUCUGUGAUCAGGCUGGCCUUCUUCCAUCCCUUGAGUUUGUAGAUCAUUCUUCCAUUCCUGUACUUCAGGAUGACUGCCCAUUACACAAGAGCUCUGUUAAUAAAUAUAGUAGAGCCGAGGAAGCUGUAGAAAAAUAUCUGAAGCUAGCAGAGGUUGGUUCAUGAUGUUUAAGGAAAGAAGCCAUGACGGUAAUGUAAAUUUAAAUGGUGAAGACGCAGGGCUCAAGCAAAUUAGCCUAAAGAUCUAGCUACAGUAAUUGGUGCCUAUGUUAAAUAACAGGAGUUCAAUGUGGACAAAUGGCUUUCUAUUGGAAGAACAUGCUCUCUUACAGUUUCAUAGCUAGAGAGAAAUCAAUGUGAGGCUUCAAAAUCUCA
ensembl:lncRNA